GAUUAAAUUUCAACGGCCGCGGUAUCCCGACCGUGCAAAGGUAGCAUAAUCAUUUGCCCUAUAAUUGAGGGCUAGUAUGAAUGGUUUGACAAGAGUUAUUCUGUCUCUAAAAAAUUUCUAGAAUUUAUUCUUUGAGUGAAGAAACUCAAAUACCAUUGAUAGACAAGAAGACCCUAUCGAGCUUUAAAGACUUUUUAAAAUAAAAAAAUC
rnacentral:rRNA from 1 species